GACGAACGCUGGCGGCGUGCUUAACACAUGCAAGUCGAACGGAAAGGCCCAGCUUGCUGGGUGCUCGAGUGGCGAACGGGUGAGUAACACGUGGGUGAUCUGCCCCUAACUUCGGGAUAAGCUUUGGAAACUGGGUCUAAUACCGGAUAGGACAAUCGUUUAGUGUCGGUUGUGGAAAGUUUUUUCGGUUAGGGAUGAGCCCGCGGCCUAUCAGCUUGUUGGUGGGGUAAUGGCCUACCAAGGCGUCGACGGGUAGCCGGCCUGCGAGGGUGGACGGCCACAUUGGGACUGAGAUACGGCCCAGACUCCUACGGGAGGCAGCAGUGGGGAAUAUUGCACAAUGGGCGCAAGCCUGAUGCAGCGACGCCGCGUGGGGGAUGACGGCCUUCGGGUUGUAAACCUCUUUCGACAGGGACGAAGCUUUGGUGACGGUACCUGUAUAAGAAGCACCGGCUAACUACGUG
rnacentral:rRNA from 1 species